AUUGAACGCUAGCGGGAUGCCUUACACAUGCAAGUCGAACGGCGUGGCGAACGGGUGAGUAAUGUAUCGGAACGUGCCCCGUCGCGGGGGAUAACUACGCCAACGCGUAGCUAAUACCGCAUACUUUUGCAGCGGCCGGUACCGGAUUAGCUAGUUGGAGGGGUAACGGCUCACCAUGGCGACGAUCCGUAGCUGGUUCUAGAGGACGACCAGCCACACUGGGACUGAGACACGGCCCAGACUCCUACGGGAGGCAGCAGUGGGGAAUGUUGGACAAUGGGGGAAACCCUGAUCCAGCCAUCCCGCGUGUGCGAUGAAGGCCUUCGGGUUGUAAAGCACUUUUGGCAGGAAAGCGGUACCUGCAGAAUAAGCACCGGCUAACUACGUGCCAGCAGCCGCGGUAAUAC
rnacentral:rRNA from 1 species